UACGUAGGAUGCAAGCGUUAUCCGGAAUGAUUGGGCGUAAAGCGUCCGCAGGUGGCAAUGUAAGUCUGCUGUUAAAGAGUCUAGCUCAACUAGAUAAAAGCAGUGGAAACUACAUAGCUAGAGUACGUUCGGGGCAGAGGGAAUUCCUGGUGUAGCGGUGAAAUGCGUAGAGAUCAGGAAGAACACCAGUGGCGAAGGCGCUCUGCUAGGCCGUAACUGACACUGAGGGACGAAAGCUAGGGGAGCGAAUGGG
rnacentral:rRNA from 1 species